GCCAGUGUGGCAUAAUGGUUUGAGCGUUAGACUAUGAUUCUGAGACCAGGGUUCGAAUCCUAGCUCAACCA